GUACUCACUUUGACAGCACAUAGACUAAAGUUGGAACAAGACAGAGAAGAUGAGUAUGGCCCCUGAGCAAGGAUGACACGCAAAUUCACAAAGUGUUACAUAUUUUU